UCCCGACUACUUCACUCCUGUCUGUGGUGUCCAAGUGUUCAGCCACGUGCCUCCCGAGUGCACUUUUUUUUGUGGCAGUCGCUCGUUGUGUUCUCUUGUUCUGUGUCUGCCCGUAUCAGUAACUGUCUUGCCCCGCGUGUAAGACAUUCCUAUCUCGCUUGUUUCUCCCGAUUGCGCGUCGUUGCUCACUCUUAGAUCGAUGUGGUGCUCCGGAGUUCUCUUCGGGCCAGGGCCUAAGCCGCGCCAGGCGAGGGACGGACAUUCAUGGCGAAUGGCGGCCGUUCUUCUCGUUCUGCCAGCGGGCCCCUCGUCUCUCCACCCCAUCCGUCUGCCGGUGGUGUGUGGAAGGCAGGGGUGCGGCUCUCCGGCCCGAGCGCUGCCCCGCGCGCACUUUUCUCAAGUGGUUCGCGUGGUCCUUGUGGAUGUGUGAGGCGCCCGGUUGUGCCCUCACGUGUUUCACUUUGGUCG
rnacentral:misc_RNA from 1 species